GUGAGUGAAGAAGGCCUUUGGGUUGUAAAGCUCUUUUGUAGGGGAAGAUAAUGACUGUACCCUAAGAAUAAGGUCCGGCUAACUUCGUGCCAGCAGCCGCGGUAAUACGAAGGGACCUAGCGUAGUUCGGAAUUACUGGGCGUAAAGCGCGCGUAGGCCGUUGAGUUAGUUAAUUGUGAAAUCCCAAAGCUUAACUUUGGAACUGCAAUUAAAACUGCUCGACUAGAGUUUGAUAGAGGAAAGCGGAAUACAUAGUGUAGAGGUGAAAUUCGUAGAUAUUAUGUAGAACACCAGUUGCGAAGGCGGCUUUCUGGGUCAACACUGACGCUGAGGCGCGAAAGUAUGGGUAGCAAAGAGGAUUAGAUACCCUCGUAGUCCAUACCAUAAACGAUGAUUGCUAGAUGUUGGAAAUUUAUUUUCAGUAUCGCAGCUAACGCAUUAAGCAAUCCGCCUGGGGAGUACGACCGCAAGGUUAAAACUCAAAUGAAUUGACGGGGACCCGNACAAGCGGUGGAGCAUGUGGUUUAAUUUCGAAGAUACGCGCAGAACCUUU
rnacentral:rRNA from 1 species